UACGUAGGGUGCGAGCGUUGUCCGGAAUUAUUGGGCGUAAAGGGCUCGUAGGCGGUUUGUCACGUCGGGUGUGAAAACUCGGGGCUUAACCCCGAGCCUGCUUCCGAUACGGGCUGACUAGAGGUAUGCAGGGGAGAACGGAAUUCCUGGUGUAGCGGUGAAAUGCGCAGAUAUCAGGAGGAACACCGGUGGCGAAGGCGGUUCUCUGGGCAUUACCUGACGCUGAGGAGCGAAAGUGUGGGGAGCGAACAGG
rnacentral:rRNA from 1 species